GACGAACGCUGGCGGCGUGCCUAAUACAUGCAAGUAGAACGCUGAAGGAGGAGCUUGCUUCUCUGGAUGAGUUGCGAACGGGUGAGUAACGCGUAGGUAACCUGCCUGGUAGCGGGGGAUAACUAUUGGAAACGAUAGCUAAUACCGCAUAAGAGUAGAUGUCGCAUGACAUUUGCUUAAAAGGUGCAAUUGCAUCACUACCAGAUGGACCUGCGUUGUAUUAGCUAGUUGGUGAGGUAACGGCUCACCAAGGCAACGAUACAUAGCCGACCUGAGAGGGGGGUCGGCCAAACUGGGACUGGGGCACGGCCCAGGCUCCUACGGGGGGCGGCAGUAGGGGAUCUUCGGCAAUGGACGGAAGUCUGACCGGGCAACGCCGCGUGAGUGGAGAAGGUUUUCGGAUCGUAAAGCUCUGUUUUAAGGGGAGAACGAGUGUGGGAGUGGACAGUUCACACUGUGACGGUAUCUUACCAGAAAGGGACGGCUAACUACGUG
rnacentral:rRNA from 1 species